rnacentral:antisense_RNA from 1 species
UUUUGUGUAUCACUAGGUGUGUUUUUACCACUAGCUGUUGUG